rnacentral:ncRNA from 1 species
UGACCUCAGAUCAGGCAAGGCUACCCGCUGAAUUUAAGCAUAUUAAUAAGCGGAGGAAAAGAAACUAACAAGGAUUCCCCUAGUAAUGGCGAAUGAAGCGGGAACAGCUCAAAUUUAAAAUCUCCGUUGCUUGCAACG